UACGAAGGGUGCAAACGUUGCUCGGAAUUAUUGGGCGUAAAGCGCACGUAGGCGGCUUUGCAAGUCGGAUGUGAAAUCCCUCGGCUUAACCAAGGAAGUGCAUCCGAAACUGCAGAGCUUGAGUACUUAAGAGGAUCGCGGAAUUCCCGGUGUAGGAGGUGAAAUUCGUAGAUAUCGGGAGGAACACCAGUGGCGAAGGCGGCGAUCUGGGAAGAUACUGACGCUGAGGUGCGAAAGCGUGGGGAGCGAACAGG
rnacentral:rRNA from 1 species